UACGGAGGGUGCGAGCGUUAAUCGGAAUUACUGGGCGUAAAGAGCACGUAGGCGGUUUGAUAAGUGGGAUGUGAAAGCCCCGGGCUCAACCUGGGAACUGCAUCUCAAACUGUCAGACUAGAGUAUGGUAGAGGGUGGCGGAAUUCCCGGUGUAGCGGUGAAAUGCGUAGAGAUCGGGAGGAACAUCAGUGGCGAAGGCGGCCACCUGGACUAAUACUGACGCUGAGGUGCGAAAGCGUGGGGAUCAAACAGG
rnacentral:rRNA from 1 species